rnacentral:rRNA from 1 species
AACGAACGCUGGCGGCAGGCUUAACACAUGCAAGUCGAGCGCCCCGCAAGGGGAGCGGCAGACGGGUGCGUAACGCGUGGGAACAUACCCUUUGGUUCGGAAUAACUCAGGGAAACUUGAGCUAAUACCGGAUAAGCCCUUCGGGGGAAAGAUUUAUCGCCAUAGGAUUGGCCCGCGUCUGAUUAGCUAGUUGGUGAGGUAACGGCUCACCAAGGCGACGAUCAGUAGCUGGUCUGAGAGGAUGAUCAGACACACUGGGACUGAGACACGGCCCAGACUCCUACGGGAGGCAGCAGUGGGGAAUAUUGGACAAUGGGCGCAAGCCUGAUCCAGCCAUGCCGCGUGAGUGAUGACGGCCUUAGGGUUGUAAAGCUCUUUCGCUAGGGACGAUAAUGACGGUACCUAGAUAAGAAGCCCCGGCUAACUUCGUGCCAGCAGCCGCGGUAA